AUGAACGCUGACAGAAUGCUUAACACAUGCAAGUCGCUGGGGAAGUGGUGCUUGCACCAUGGUAACCAUGGCGGACGGGUGAGUAACGCGUAAGGAACUUGCCUGCGGGACUGGGAUAACAGCAGGAAACUGCUGAUAAUACCGGAUAAGGUCAUUAAGCUGCAUAGCUUAGUGAUGAAAGGAGACGCCUGCGGAGAGCCUUGCGUCCUAUUAGCUAGUUGGAGGGGUAACGGCCCACCAAGGCGAAGAUAGGUAGCCGGCCUGAGAGGGUGGACGGCCACAAGGGGACUGAGAUACGGCCCUUACUCCUACGGGAGGCAGCAGUGGGGAAUAUUGGACAAUGGGGGCAACCCUGAUCCAGCAAUUCUGUGUGCACGAAGACGGUUUUCGGAGUGUAAAGUGCUUUCAGCAGGGAAGAAGGAAGUGACGGUACCUGCAGAAGAAGCGACGGCUAAAUACGUG
rnacentral:rRNA from 1 species